UACAGAGGUCUCAAGCGUUGUUCGGAUUCAUUGGGCGUAAAGGGUGCGUAGGUGGCGCGGUAAGUCGGGUGUGAAAUCUCGGAGCUUAACUCCGAAUUGCAUUCGAUACUGCCGUGCUCCGAGGACUGGAGAGGAGACUGGAAUUCAUGGUGUAGCAGUGAAAUGCGUAGAGAUCAUGAGGAAGACCAGUGGCGAAGGCGGGUCUCUGGACAGUUCCUGACACUGAGGCACGAAGGCCAGGGAGCAAACGGG
rnacentral:rRNA from 1 species